rnacentral:rRNA from 1 species
AGUGAACGCUGGCGGCGUGCCUAAUACAUGCAAGUCGAACGGAGUGGCGCACGGGUGAGUAAUGUAUAGCUACUCUGCCCUACACUAGAGGACAACAGUUGGAAAUGCCUGCUAAUACUCUACAGUGUAGGAUGCGGCUAUAUUGUUUCAGCUCGUUGGUGAGUUAAUGGCUCACCAAGGGUAUGACGCAUAACUGGUCUGAGAGGAUGAUCAGUCACACUGGAAGUGAGACACGGUCCAGACUCCUACGGGAAGCAGCAGUAGGGAAGAUUGAUCAAUGGGGGAAACACGGAAGGAGCAACGGCGCGUGAAGGAUGACACUUUUCGGAGCGUAAACUCCUUUUGUUAGGGAAGCGGUACCUAACGAAUAAGCACCGGCUAACUCCGUGCCAGCAGCCGCGGUAAUAC